rnacentral:ncRNA from 1 species
CUCAUCACGAGCGGUGGAGGGAACUGGCCCGGUGAAGCUGCAGCAACCAUUACGAGAGGGUAGCCUCUGGCAAACGGUGCUAAAUCCUUACGAGAAAUCGCAAGAUGAG